UACGAAGGGUGCAAGCGUUACUCGGAAUUAAUGGGAGUAAAGAGUGCGUAGGUGGUUAGUUAAGUGUGAUGUGAAAGCCCUGGGCUCAACCUGGGAAUGGCAUUGGAAACUGGCGAUCUAGAGUGCGGUAGAGGGCAGUGGAAUUCCCGGUGUAGCAGUGAAACGCGUAGAGAUCGGGAGGAACAUCUGUGGCGAAGGCGACUGCCUGGACCAGCACUGACACUGAGGCACGAAAGCGUGGGGAGCAAACAGG
rnacentral:rRNA from 1 species